rnacentral:rRNA from 1 species
UGGUAGUGUAUUGGACUACCAUGGCAGUCACGGGUAACGGAGAAUUAGGGUUCGAUUUCGGAGAGGGAGCCUGAGAAACGGCUACCACAUCUAAGGAAGGCAGCAGGCGCGUAAAUUACCCAAUCCCGAUUCGGGGAGGUAGUGACAAGAAAUAGCAACUCGUGCGGGUUUCCGUUACGGGAUUGCAAUGAGAUAGGUCCAAAUCCGUAAACGACUAACAAUUGGAGGGCAAGUCUGGUGCCAGCAGCCGCGGUAAUUCCAGCUCCAAUAGCGUAUACUUAAGUUGUUGCAGUUAAAAAGCUCGUAGUUGAAAUUCGAGUCAGUUACUAGUUGGCUUUUCGUCAGUUAGUUAAUUGAUUCUCCGUCUACAAUCCCUUUUGCGCUUUAGGGCUGCAGCUGGGCGAGUAGACAAUUUACCUUGAAAAAAUUAGAGUGUUCCAGGCAGGUCUUCGCCGGAAUGCAUUAGCAUGGAAUAAUGGAAUAGGACUUGGGUCUUUUGUUGGUUUUAGGACUUGAGUAAUGAUUAAUAGGGACAGAUGGGGGCAUUAGUAUUUAAUUGUCAGAGGUGAAAUUCUUGGAUUUAUUAAAGACUAUCUUAUGCGAAAGCAUUUGCCAAGGAUGUUUUCAUUAUUCAAAACGAAAGUUAGGGGAUCAAAGACAAUCAGA